UUCCAUUUUUCAGGUAUAAAAAGAGCAGACAGUCUAACAUGGAACUUUGAGUCUCUGGCCAGACUGGGAGGCCGGCAGGAGAGAGAUCAUGGGGGUGCUUUAGUUCUGUUCCGCAUCCCUCCUCCCUGCCCCGCCUGCGCCCUGGAUUUGCUAACUUGUGUCCGAGCUGCCGUAUCUGGAGCAGGAAAGAAGAGAGAGGAAAGGAGCAGAGUAAAACAAAACCACGACAGAAACCCUUACCGUGAGCUGGUGUCAGAUGCCUUUCUAAGACCAUGUGCAUCAUGGCGCCUCCCUGCUUACGAAUGUGAACUAGAAAACCCCACGUGACCUCCGGACGUGCCCCUCUGAUGACCAGGCAAGUCAUUUAAGCUCUCAAGGUUUCUUAUUUUUGUUUUUAAAUCUUGGAACCUAUGAGAUAGUAUAUGUAAAUAGAAAUAUAAGGCUAUUGUGAAGUUUGACCAUUGCCUCUUGAGGGUCCUGGAGCUGUUGGCUCGUCAAACACGUUGAUAAACCAAGUUCUUGUUCCCACUGGCUCCUCACAGUGUUUUCCUCGCUCCUGCUCUUCAGCAUCUAAGUGAAUGUGUGGCUAAUGGUGAGAUAAGUAUGGGGGAAAUAAUAAUAAUAAUAAUAAUAAAGAAUUCCAUUCUUUUUUUAAAAUUUUAUUUAUUUAUUUAUUUGAGAGAGAGAGAGAGAGAUCAC
rnacentral:lncRNA from 1 species